UACGGGGGGGGGCAAGCGCUGUUCGGAAUUACUGGGCGUAAAGGGCUCGUAGGUGGCCAACUAAGUCGAGACGUGAAAUCCCUCGGCUUAACCGGGGAACUGCGUCUGAUACUGGAUGGCUUGAGUUCGGGAGAGGGAUGCGGAAUUCCAGGUGUAGCGGUGAAAUGCGUAGAUAUCUGGAGGAACACCGGUGGCGAAGGCGGCAUCCUGGAC
rnacentral:rRNA from 1 species